AAACUCUUCUGAAAUGUGCAUGUACUUUGUGCCAGCCGUACUUUGAUUAAUGUCAUAAAGAUGGCAGCACGAUAAGUCAUGGUUAUUAUCAGCUCACUUGUUUUCUCAGUCUUCUCUGAAAUGUGCAAGUACUGUGAUUCAUGUCAUAAGGCUAGUAGAACGAUAAGUCAUGGUUAUUAUCAGCUGACAAGUUUUCUCAGCCGUAUUCCUCUGAAUUGUCCAAGUUCUGUGAUUAAUGUCAUAAGGCUAGUAGCACGAUAGAUUUUCUCAGUCGCAGGCUUAUGCAAAGUGCAAGUUCGAUUGGAAUCAGCGCAGCAAUUCAAGAUAUUGUUUAAUAAUGCUUUUGAUUUUGGUAUAGAUUUGUAUUGCC